UACGAAGGGAGCUAGCGUUGUUCGGAAUCACUGGGCGUAAAGCGCACGUAGGCGGAUGUGUCAGUCAGGGGUGAAAUCCCGGAGCUCAACUUCGGAACUGCCUUUGCUACAGCACGUCUUGAGUCCGAUAGAGGUGGGUGGAAUUCCUAGUGUAGAGGUGAAAUUCGUAGAUAUUAGGAAGAACACCGGUGGCGAAGGCGGCCCACUGGAUCGGUACUGACGCUGAGGUGCGAAAGCGUGGGGAGCAAACAGG
rnacentral:rRNA from 1 species